CAGCGCCGCGGUAAUACAGAGGGUGCGAGCGUUAAUCGGAUUUACUGGGCGUAAAGCGUGCGUAGGCGGCUUUUUAAGUCGGAUGUGAAAUCCCUGAGCUUAACUUAGGAAUUGCAUUCGAUACUGGGAAGCUAGAGUAUGGGAGAGGAUGGUAGAAUUCCAGGUGUAGCGGUGAAAUGCGUAGAGAUCUGGAGGAAUACCGAUGGCGAAGGCAGCCAUCUGGCCUAAUACUGACGCUGAGGUACGAAAGCAUGGGGAGCAAACAGGAUUAGAUACCCGUGUAGUCCCUGUCUCUUAUACA
rnacentral:rRNA from 1 species